UACGUAGGGAGCAAGCGUUGUCCGGAAUCAUUGGGCGUAAAGCGCGCGUAGGUGGCUUCGUAAGUCCGUUGUGAAAGUCAAAGGCUCAACCUUUGAAAGCCGAUGGAUACUGUGAAGCUAGAGUACGGAAGAGGCGAGUGGAAUUCCUGGUGGUAAGCGGUGGGAAUGCCGCAGAUAUCAAGGAGGGAACACCAAUAAGCGAAGGGCAGCUCCGCUGGGGACCGUUAAC
rnacentral:rRNA from 1 species